UAUCAAAGUCUAUGAGAAUCUCUUGCUUUUUGACAAGAACAGUAAAGUUCAGAGAACCGGAAGCAUCAUAAUAUCUUCCAAGUUUUAAGUUCUUACUAUGUCUUCCUGAAAUACUAUUUAUCUAAAAAUGUUGCAUAUCAUCCAUUUCUCAUUCUUGCUUGUGGUAAAUGAUUUUAUCUGAGUCGGCUAAGAAUGAUCAAAACCUAAAGAUGUAAAAGCGUCCUGUCACAAUGACUUUUAGUUGGCUUGUUAUGUUUGCAAGGCUCCUUGAGAAUUAUUGUCAUAAUUCAUACUUAGAAAUUUUUUGUGUAUGACUUGACCAUACCCUAUCUUUACUUUUUUGAGGCCUGGCUUUUUGGGUUUAUAUCCUUUGUUACUAUUAGCUUUUCCAAAAUCAUUUCCCACAACUUCCGUCCAUGUCAUCUUAAAACUUCUUCUCCCCUUCUUUUAAAUUUCGGCAUGAAAUCCAUUUUGGUCUUCUUGCUGUUGCUUUGGAUAUUUUUGUGACGUGCCACACCAUUUCAUUCUGUUUUCCAUUUUUAAACUAGUCCCUACCUUAAACCUCAAUUUGUGCAACUCUAGUGCUUCCUUUAGUUUCCUGCUUUCUUUGCCAAAUUCAUCUAAUGUACAUGGGCCUCUUUAUCAUCAUGCAACAUUGUAAACCAUGCAGCAUUGCAAAUUUAGUUGUUUUACAAAAUUUUCUUAUAAGCUUCAAAAGGUUUCUGUGGUAACACAGCAUCCUAGAAGCAUCUUUGCACUUCAUCAUCCACCUUGGUAUUUCUUCUGAUCCAAGAUAAAGAAAUAUAAUCACAGAAGGUUUUCUCUUAGUUAAUAUCUUUUUGACCUAUAUUAUUUCUUUUGCCAAUAAAACUGUACUCCACGUUAGUUUUCAGCACUUUAUUCCAGUGAUUUUGUUCAUUUUCUUAAAUUUGUAUACAAGCUUGCUCUCAUCUCAUCAAUAAGCAUGCUUUCAUUGCAGAUAACAUAUGCCUCGAUACCUUCUGUUGUAUAUGCCUAUUGAUGAUAGGCAAAGAGUAUAUGGAUGAAAGGACAAUCCUUGGUCCAGGCACAAUGCAACUAGAAACUCAGUCCUCUUUCUACAUCUACCUGCAGUAACAAUUUUCACCUUUUAAUUAUACAUGCCUUUAACAAUUUGAAUAUAACCUCUAAAUAAAUGUUUCUUCCAUUACACAUGUGCAAAAUUACUCCUUGUGGUACUCUAUCAUAACUUAAAGUCAAUUAAAGUCAUGUUGUGAGGACCUGUGCGGGCGUGUNNNNNNNNNNNNNNNNNNNNNNNNNNNNNNNNNNNNNNNNNNNNGAAACCCAAAUAGUACCUUCCGGCUAGCCAUUUUGGGUGAGGUCCUGAGUUGUUACAAAUGGUAUCAGAGCGGACCCGGCCCAUAAUUUAUAUGGACUAAGGGACACUGCAGCACGGAUCCAUUGGGGCUAACCAUAAGCCGAUCGUGGUGUUUGUGAUUAGAUUUGAAUGGAUUUGUACCCUUAGCCUGACGAAGACGUCAGGACUUGAACGGGGGGAGUAUGUGAGGACCCGUGCGGGCGUGUAUUUAGUCCCACAUCGGUUAUUCAUUGGGUAGAUCUUGGGUAUUUAUACAGGAUCAAGGAAUCCAAAUAGUAACUUUCGGUUAGCCAUUUUGGGUGAGGUACUGGAUUGUUACACAUGUUCUUUUGAAACCUCUCUCUUAAUUCUAGUGAGCAAAAAUGUUGCAUCCUUGGUUAACCAUCUCAAAGUUUAAGAUAAAAUGGUUCUCAUAAAUUGUCAUGAUUAUUUUUAUUUUAAUCUUUCCUUAACUAAUCAUUUAUCCAAUAACUCUCAUGAUAAUUAGAGCAAGUUAAUCAUUUGGCACUAUUCUUCAAUUAUAGAUUACUUCAGAAUUUCUAAUUGUAUGAAACAAUGUUUGCUGAACCAGUACCAAGGGUUGUACUGGCAGAUUACUGAUUUAGUAUGGUACCAGCAUGUACCAUUCCAUCUCGAGGCAUACUAGAACUAGGGGGAGGGUGAGGGAGAGAGGGAGGAGGGAGAGAGAGGAAAAGAGAGGGAGGGAGAGUGAUAGAAAGUGAGAGAGAGGUAGGGAAAGGGAGGGGGAGGCGAAGAGGAGAGAGAGAGGGGGAAGGAUAGUGAAAGUGAGAGGGGUACCCAUCUUCGACCUCAUCAUCAAUGUCUUUGUUAGCAUCGGCAGCAGUGGUGGUGGUGAUAAGCUAGAAACCCCUAGCAGCAAGGGUUUCAACCUUGCGAAGGAUCGUGAGUGAGAGGCUCACAUGAUUGAACAAGAAUCAGGGUGGGAGUGGGGAGUUUAAAGAUAAUUGGCCUGAUUUAGCUUUCAAACUGAGUCAAACCACUCAAAACUUAAUAGAAUUUGCCCACUUGGUGCAGUAUUCGUAGUCGGUAUGGUACAUUACCGAUUUAACUGGUUGAUUCGGUCAGGUACUAUAUACCUUGGUCCAUACUUUAAUUAAAUUUUGUUCUGCCUUUUUCUUUAUUUGCAUCAUUUUUUUAUUUUAUUGCUCAUGUAAUUCCUCCUAGCUUUGUUCCUUUAAUUCAUUUCCUUGAAAUAACUUUUCUAUUUUACUUAAAUCUUAUCAUCUUUCCAUUUAUCUACAAAAUCUUCUUACCUUCAUGUUUAGUGCGUUAGAUUGUGUAAUAUGAUUAUACAAUAUGUUGGUUCUACAUGUUUUCAUCUUUGUAAAGUUUUGUUGGUAUGCCAACCACCUUGGAAUUUACAUCACAUGUAUGUCCAUACAUACACCACAUUUAUAAAUAUGUAACAUGCACAUGAUAUGUUUAAUAAAAUUUCAUGUUCUAUGUUCUAUGCUUAUUUCAUGCAUCAAGUCUGCUUAACACUCAUAUGAGGUCCUUUGGUUGGAGGUUUCCUAAUCUUGAGGGUAACUAAUAUAAAAGACUUGAAUCUGUGUAAACAUGGACUCACUUAAAAUGAUAAAAGCAUCUCAAGUAGGGUAAAUUAUAUGGUAUCAUAGCCAAAUACUUAUUGCGUGUCAUAUUGUCUGCUUUAUAAUAAAGCUUCCUUCAAACCAGAGGGGCACAGUUGUGAUCCCAUAAUGUCUAUACAUAAGGUAG
rnacentral:lncRNA from 1 species